UACGUAGGGAGCAAGCGUUGUCCGGAAUCAUUGGGCGUAAAGCGCGCGUAGGUGGCCUCAUAAGUCCGCUGUGAAAGUCAAAGGCUCAACCUUUGAAAGCCGGUGGAUACUGUGAGGCUAGAGUACGGAAGAGGCGAGUGGAAUUCCCGGUGUAGUGGUGAAAUGCGUAGAUAUCGGGAGGAACACCAGUGGCGAAGGCGACUACCUGGCCUGUUCUUGACGCUGAGGCGCGAAAGCUAGGGGAGCAAACGGG
rnacentral:rRNA from 1 species